GCACAAUCUACUUCGUCAGACCAAUUCACGGGGAAUAUAUUUGGCUGCAUCGUCCCGUUCUGAAUCUGACCAAUGUGCAUCGACGAAACAUGCAACAUCUCCCGGAGACCGGAGUCCAGGACGCACAGCUUUCUGUUGGCAACAAGCACCGGAAUCAAAUUGAAAUGAAAUCACCAAACACGAACAGGCUUUUCGUCGAAUGCCCAAACCGCACAGAAACCCAGACCACAUUUGUCCACAGGGCAAUGCAGCCAAAACAAAAGGGGGACAAAUCUGAUGCUUAUAUACUCGCCGCCACACUCAAACAUGCAUUUCAUCGAACACCUAGUGCACUCCAAAACUGAACUCACGGAGAGGAGAGGCGGCCCCAGACUCCAGCCCCCGCGCUACCCACGCCGCCGCUGGCUUAGAGAAGCCCGAGGAGGAGGAGCAGGAGGACGGCGGGCGCCACGGCGAGGACGAGGAGCAGCUCGGAGCCGGCGACCCGCGCGUGGGCAGCGGCCUCGCGCCGCGCCGCUGCGAUCUCGGCGCUGCGGAGGAGCCCCUCGGACCGGAGCCGCGCGAGCUCCUGCAGCGCAAGCUCGCGCACGGUCAUUUCGAAGAGAUGGAAGGGGAGCGGCGUGCGUAGCAAACAUGCGCGGGGCCGAUAGCGGGCGAGGACGAGGGGUUAGGGGGAGUUACCGCUGCGGCGGCCGAGGAGGGAGAGUAGGAGGUCCGGCGGCGAUCCUGUGUCGGCGUCGGCGCGCGUGGCCGGCGGAGGGAGGCGAGGAGGAGCGCGGCCCUGGCGCAGCGGAGCAUGGCCUCUGGCGCUGGCUUGGUCUCCUCCAUGGCCGAUGCUGCUUCACCGCUUGGCGUGCGCGCCGGUGGUUUGGGUAGGGGGUGCGGCUAUUUUUACGGAGGGAAAAGCUGUUUUCG
rnacentral:misc_RNA from 1 species